CACACACCGCCCGUCAAGUCAUCCAAGCGAGGUCUUAGUGAGGCCUGCCCUCAGGGCAUGUCGAGCUAGGGCUUCGUGAGGAGGAUU
rnacentral:rRNA from 1 species